GACGAACGCUGGCGGCGUGCUUAACACAUGCAAGUCGAGCGGUAAGGCCCUUUCGGGGGUACACGAGCGGCGAACGGGUGAGUAACACGUGGGUGACCUGCCCUUAGCUCUGGGAUAAGCCUGGGAAACUGGGUCUAAUACCGGAUAUGACUCCAUGACGCAUGUUGUGGGGUGGAAAGCCUUGUGCGGCUAGGGAUGGGCCUGCGGCCUAUCAGCUUGUUGGUGGGGUGAUGGCCUACCAAGGCGACGACGGGUAGCCGGCCUGAGAGGGCGACCGGCCACACUGGGACUGAGACACGGCCCAGACUCCUACGGGAGGCAGCAGUGGGGAAUCCUGCGCAAUGGGCGAAAGCCUGACGCAGCGACGCCGCGUGGGGAUGACGGCCU
rnacentral:rRNA from 1 species